rnacentral:rRNA from 1 species
AACUUUCAACCACGGAUCUCUUGGCUCUCCCCUCCAUUAAAAACCCCGCGAAAUGCGAUAAGUAAUGGGAAUUGCAGAAUUCAGUGAAUCAUCCAAUCUUUGAACGCCCCUUGCGCCCUUUGGUAUUCCGAAGGGCAUGCCUGGUUGAAUGGCAUUA